rnacentral:rRNA from 1 species
CCUACGGGUGGCAGCAGUGAGGAAUAUUGGUCAAUGGGCGCGAGCCUGAACCAGCCAAGUAGCGUGAAGGAUGACUGCCCUACGGGUUGUAAACUUCUUGUAUAAAGGAAUAAAGUGAGGCACGUGUGCCUUUUUGUAUGUACUUUAUGAAUAAGGAUCGGCUAACUCCGUGCCAGCAGACGCGGUAAUACGGAGGAUACGAGCGUUAUCCGGAUUAAUUGGGUUUAAAUGGAGCGUAGAUGGGUUGUUAAGUCAGUUGUGAAAGUUUGCGGCUCAACCGUAAAAUUGCACUUGAUACUGGCAGUCUUGAGUACAGUUGAGGUAGGCGGAAUUCGUGGUGUAGCGGUGAGAUGCUUAGAUAUCACGAAGAACUCCGAUUGCGAAGGCAGCUUACUAAACUGCCACUGACAUUGAUGCUCGAAAGUGUGGGUAUCAAACAGGAUUAGAUACCCCAGUAGUC